rnacentral:rRNA from 1 species
CGUUCGUAGUUGAAUGUGUGCUUCAUACGGGUAGUACAAACUACAAUAGUGGAUUGUACAUUACCUUAUGUAUGCAAGCAUAUUACCGGUGGAGUUCUAAUACUUAAUGGUACUUGUAUCAUUUUGUAUACCUCCUAUUUAAACCUACUUCAGUGCUCUUUACCGAGUGCUGUUGUGGGCCGGUACAUUUACUUUGAACAAAUUAGAGUGCUUAAGGCAGGCCCCAAACGCCUGAAUAUUCUGUGCAUGGAAUAAUGAAAAAAGACUUCUGAUCUAUCUUCAUUGGUUUUUAGAUCAAGAGGAAAUGAUUAAUAGAAGCAGUUUGGGGGCAUUAGUAUUACGACGCGAGAGGU